rnacentral:tRNA from 1 species
UCCCUGGCAGUUAAACGGUUAAGGUUCUGCACUUCCACUGCAGGGGAUACGGGUUUGAUCCCUGGUCAGGGAA